UCCGCUCGCUGCCGGAGCUGCGUGGACCUUGGAGAAUAACCCCUUCUACUUUCCAGUUGAGGGCCGGCUGAGGGUCGCACGCAGCAAGCGCAGCCCAGUCGCUGCUCGCAGCUCCAUGUCCUCCCACCGGAAAGCAGGCCGAACUUCUCCGAGGCCUGAGGGGCGGAGGAACCCCAGCUCCCGUUGGUACCGUGUGUGAUGCUGGCAGCACAGGCAGGGGCUUGCAGGAAGCCCGAUUGCUCCAUGCAGCAAGAAGGCAAGUUCCCUCAUAUAAAUGGCCAGAGUGGAUGGGACCAGGACUGGAGGGGGUCACGAGGACAUGAUGCUACAGGUGGGCAGGAGGCUUACUGACCGACCUGCUCACAGCCCCUUGCUCCAGGCAUCCCUGGUGGUGGCUGCACACGCCAGGUCUGGGAGCCGGACACUUGGAGCAAGAUGACAGCCCAGCACGACGCUGGGAGCGCUGGGCUUUGGGGGCAGGUGGGCCUGGCUCUUCUCCCCUCUGAGUCUCAGUUUUCUCAUCUGUCACAUGGGGAGAUCACAAUUUUCAACGCUCAUCUGUAGGAAAAUCUGAUUCGAGGAUGGAGGUGGGUGUUUUCUGCAGACUGGUGUGGCAGUCUCGUAGCUCAAGUGCCUGGCUCUGCCCAUUCCUCAGGGGUCAUUCUGAGUCCUUCCCUCAGUGAGAGCGUUGUUGUCAGUGCUUCCCUGGGGCUUCAUCAUCUGAGGCCUCCGACAAAGGGGCAGGGCAUAGGCUCCGCAGCUUGAUGGCUCUAGGCUGGAGCCUGGUUCCCUGAUGCUUGCUGUGCUGCCUUAGUCAGGGGCUUAACCACUCUGUGUGGGCUCCAGUGCCUAUGAUCACAGAGUGCUGGGGGCUGAAUCGUGUCACCCUAACCUAACCCCCAGUACCUCUAAAUGUCAUUGUAUUUGGAGACAGGACCUUUUAAGAGGUAAUUAAGGUAAAAUUGUUACUGAGGCUGGUGCCCCAGGAUCAUACCCCUACCCCUCCCUUAAAUAGAAACAAAUUACUCUUAUCUAAGUUUCAGGAGGAAGCUUCAAGGAGAAAAAAAACAAGAACCAGUUAGAACCAACUAGGCCCAAGAUGGCAGAGGAUUUGACUUCCAGUGGACCUUUGAGCCUCAUUAUACACUCAUUGUAAUGCAUUAGCGUGCUAAAUGACACACUCACCAGCGCCAAGACAGUUGACAGUUGCCAUGACAACAACUGGAAAAGCCCACAUAAGAACUGGAAAGGAAAAUUGCAUCAGUUCUCGGUCCAAACCACACCUCUGGCCUCGGAUAACGCAUGAAUAUUCCUCCUACUCUUUGCAAUUCCCUCCUUUUACUUCCACCCUCCUACAUAUUUGGUGUGUCCACCCAAAUUGGGUUGAGGAGUUGAUUUAUGGACUUGGUUCCCACUUCUCCUUUCUCUGGCCGUUGGAUAAAGCCUGUACUCUCCCUCUGUCAUCAUCAGUUUCAUUACUGGCUGUGCAAAUCCGAUCGGACAGCAGGUCUCGGCCUGGGCUAGGAUCCUGGUGUGGGUUCAGUCAACCAGCGAUCAACUAGGUAACAAAAUGAGGUCACUGGGGUGAGCCCUAAGCCAAUAGGGCCCACGUCUUUGUAAGAAGAAUGGGUGAGGACACAGACACACACCGGAGGGAAGACACAGGGAGCAGACGGCUGUCUGCAGGCCAAGGGGAUGGGCCUCAGAAGGACCAGCCCUGCAGACGGCUUUAUCUCAGAUCUCUAACCUCCAGAGUCCUGAGAAAAUGAACUUCUGCUGUUUAAGCCGCCCAGGCGGUGGUACUUCGUAGUGGCAGGCCUAGCAAAUGAACAGAUGGGGUCACCUCGAAGAUCUGACGUGUUCGUACAAGUGAAAUGCCCAGAGCGGCCUAGAGCGGCCCACGAUGGACGCAGCCCACACAGAGGCCAGCCGUCAGCCUGCAGGUUGGGGCGGAUCUGAGGACGGGAGGAGAAAGGGGAAGGGAACGAUGUGGUAACCUGAGGCAACCUCUGUUUCCCCUCCGCACACUGGCUCUGAACUCCGCUGGCUCUCACUCCACGGGCCGCACUUCCGCUCGCCUCCCCAGGACACGACGUGCUCCGCAGGCCUCUGCUCAGGCCGGUCCCUCUGCUGGCUGAGCUGGUCACUGCUCCUGCACCCUGGGUGCCUGCCUGUCUCCCAUCUGCUGAGCAGAGUGUCCUGGAGGGCUGGGCUGUGGUGAGGUGGCAGGGGUUAGGGGGAGGGGGUAAGAGUCAAGGAACGAGGAGCCGUGGGCUCUGGGGGUCACGGGCCAGCGUGGGAGGUCCAGGUACCUGUGUCAUUCCUUUAACAGUUGUGCCCUGCCCCCUCCCCUCCACAUCCAGGAAUGAGCCUACCUGGCUGCCUUCCUUUUCUCGGUCAGGGUUUGGGAAAUGGCGGGUCUGAGUGUCUGUCCUCGGUUGGGUGUGGGGACUGAGAUGCCCUGCCUCUGUACUGUGCCUACAGCCCUGGGGUCCUAAGCCAACUCUCCAUCUUCUUACCAGUCUCCAGAAUUCUCCUUUGAUUGUUCCUUGCACCAUUCACAGAGUUUUAAGCUGUCAACAGAGGGCAGCCGGAGGGAACAAUGAGCCAAUGCCAUCUUGUCUGGACUGGAAGUCUAACCGUUCACCUUUAACGUAUUCGACAGAUGGGUUGACUCACAUCGCACAGCCUGACAUUAUCAUAAACAGAAGUCUGACCCAAGUGUUCCAUCUGGGUGUCGGGCAGGGGGUGGGGGCACUAUGCGUUUUUUCCACCACGCCAGAAUCUUCCAUUUGUUUCUGUAAGUGUCACUUAAUGAACUGAGGCAUCAUGCUUUAUCCCUGUCAUGGUUUGGGUGCUGCUGGUAUAUUUGGGGCUAUUUUUCUUUCAACUGAUUUUUUAGGAAAAUUAGAAUGUUAGGCUUUUUAGGAGGAAGUUUACAAACUAGCUUCUGCUUUCCUCCACCUUCUCAACCUAGAUGUACAUUUUUGAGGAUAAGAAGGCGUUAGCCAGGUGGUGACCUGGGGCUAAGGAGAGAUGCAGAUUCUCCAGGACAGUGAGGAGUGCUUCCGGGAGGGCUACAGAGAGAAUGGCUGGAGGGAUUGAUGGUUUUAGGAUGUGGUGAUGGAGAAGCAGACUGGAUGAGAUUAAGGAUAACCUAGAACAGAAGUCAGAAAACUACAGCCCGGGGGAAGCCAGCUUUUGUGAAUACAAUUGUGUUGGGACACAGCUGUAUUAAUUCAUGUGCAAAGUGCCUCUGGCUGCUUCUGUACUGCAGAGUUGAAUAGUUGCCACAAAGACCCUGUGGCUUGAAAAGCCUAAAUAUUUACUAUCUGGCUGUUUACCAAAAAGGUGUCUUGACCCCUGACCUAUAGUGUCAACCCAAGAAGUUUGUAAAUUAUUCUUUUGGGUUAAGGAGACAGAGCAGUAUUCUGGCUGCAGUCAGCUCUAAGCUUUAGGAAGUUCUCUAAAGGUUAAUAUGUGAUUUUGCCUAUAGCAGGGCUAGUAGGAGGCAGGCAGGAUGGAAAGGGAAGAUUCAGGAAUGGAGAGACGUGGUGCUGGAGGUCAGGUCAAGGAAGGGAUCCACGGAAGGGCUCUGAGUAAAGAGUUGACAGACAUGUGGCUGAUGUGGUGUCCAGGGCAGGACAUACCUAACCUCUGGGUGAAAUGUGAGGGCAAAAAAAUGUUACCUGCCAUUUCAGAAAGCAAAAGAUGCUGCCGUCAGCCACGGCAGCCUCUCCCAAACGUGAGCCCUGAGGCGAAUUCAGGCUGGACAAAAACGGGACACCACUCUAGAGAGUUAAGGUGUGCAUCUAAGGAACGAUUUCAGUGAGCCCAGAUAUUUGCAUCUACCCAUACGUAGAAAAGCACUAGAAUCAAUUCCUUGAGAUGUCUGAUUUUUGUGAUGAACAGUAAUCUUUUGAUCAACCACAUGUUUGUGUUUUUCAGCAAAAGCUCUGUACAGCCUGGCUCCUCCCUUACCUCUGGAGCAGUUCCUCAGAGCUAGCGGAGAGGCUGUCUCCCAGGCUGUGUCCUCAGUGAGGUCCCUGAAUCAAACAUAACUCACAAUUUUUAGGCUGUGCUUUUUUUUUUUUUCAGUUGACAAAGGUCACAACAUACCAGGCCUUCUGCUGUGUGUUUCUCAUACAUACUUUUCUUUAAUCCUCGCAGAAACCCUGUGAGGCUGGACUUCUCACACCUCCUCCACAAAGCAGGAGACCGAGGCAGGGGAGGUAAGGUGGCUCACCUGAUGCCAUGCCCGUAGUAAAUGAAAGAGUGUGGGUCGAUCCCAGGUCGCUCUGAUUGCAAAGUCUAAGCUAGCGCCCACAUAGCCGGAAGCUCACAAACUCUUGGAGUUGGCCCACGGGGAUGUGACGUCUCCAGGAAUCAACCCUUGAGUCCCCUUUCCUGCAGGGGAUGUGGACGCUCUGGCCGAGGCUGAUGCUCUCUCACUGGGUUCUGAUCUCUGCAUAGUCUGUGUAGGUGCCCUCCUGAGUCAUCCCGUGAAAGGCGAGGGAGGCGUAAUGCAGCUCCUGCUCCAUCCUCAAGGUGGGGGCGGUCCCUGUGGAGCUCGUGGGCUCAUCAGGACCCUCCACCUUGGACUCUUGCUGGAGACCCUGGGUGGAGAGCAGAGAAAGGGGUCCAAUCAAGGAAGUUGUAGGGGGAGAGGGCAGAAAGGGUCCAUGAAGUGAAUUUGACUCUGGAACAGAACAUUUAUUCAUUCUUCCUUUUUCUUUUUAACCAAACAUUUCUCAAGUUUGCAUAUAUUCAGUCAUCCAGCAAAUAGAACACUGUAGGUUGUUUUCCAGUUCCACUGAACAUGCACACAGACCUAUGCAGAAAAUACUAUUACGUUACAGAGAGAGAAACUAAACCUCAGAGAAGUUAAGUGCUUCCCGAGGUCGCAUGUCUAUCGAUCACAAACUCCACUCCUGGACGCUCUGAUGCCUCCUAAGUGCCCAGCACUGGAUACACAGGAGGGCGUUGAGGACAAGCUCCUCCCCGCCAAGCAGCUCUCCCACGGCAGCUGGGUGUCCUACAAUUUAACUCAAUUCUGACACUACUUGCCUGGAGGCAGUGUGAGGUCCCACAGGUUAAGGGCACUGUCCCAUGAGACCGCCCUCUCCCUCCAUGUCCAGGUUGUCACCUGUGUUUAUGAUCAACUGGCUAUAAAUCAGAGGUUCCUAGGACCUCUUCCUUGGGUUAAAUGAGUUUGCUAGAGUGGCUCACAAAACGCAGAAAAAGAGUUUGCUUACUGUGUUUCGGCUUAUUAUAAAAUGAUACGAUGAAGGAUGCAGAUGAACAUCCAGAUGGAAGAGAUGCGUACGGCAAGGCGUGUAGGAAGGAGCAAGGAGCUUUUAUGUUCUCUUUGAGUGCACCAUAUUCCCAGCUCCUUUGCCAACCCAGAAGCUCUCUAAACGCCAUACUUUGGGGAUUUUUAUGGAGACUUCAUCACAUAGGCAUGUAUACUGAUUAACUCCAUUUCUAGCCCCUCUCCCCUUUCUGGGGAGUGGGAAGUGGGGCUGAAGAUUUCAAGCUUCUAAUCUCAGCUUGGUCCUUCUGAUGACCAGCCUUGAUCCAGGAGCCUAAUUGCCUCAUUAGAACAAAAGAUGGUGGUCUCACCCAGGAAGUUCCAUGGGAUUUAGGAGUACAACCAUCUUCUGCUGCAGUUAUAUUUCUUAGCUCUAGGUUUAUUGCAACAUUUCUCAAAAAAGUCUUUCCACUCCAUCUCCUCAUGCUCUCUCUUGAACUCACUCCAAUCAAGAUAACUGCCUCCAUCAGGUUACCAGAUCUUUUGUCAAGAUCAGCUAUGAUAGCACGUAUGGUUGUUUCUCAGACCUUAUCUUACUCAGCAUUUGAAACAAAUGGGCUCUCUCUCCUUGAAGCUCCAUCUCUCCUUGACUACCGGGACCCCCCCCUACAUUCUCCUGGUCAUUUAUUCUUCCUCAGUGGUUGUCUUGCUAUUUCAACCUUAUCUUCUUGACUCUAAAUGAUGGAGGGUCACAGACUCUGUCUGUGGACCCUUCCUCUUCUUUGUGAUUUCAUCUACUAUCAGACUUUGGUGUAGAUGAUCCCUUGAACCUCUGUGUAUCCCACCCGGAUUCCCCUCUUGUGCUCCAGACUCUUGCCGUCUGCUUGUCAUCUACACUUGGGUGUCUCAGAGGCAGCUCAAACUCACAGUAACCAAGAUAAAAGUUUGAUUCCCUUCUUGCAGGUAUACUCCUCCUUCAGAGACAGCAAUUUUAGGAACUGGCAAUUCAAUUCUUCAUGUUGUUCAGGGCAACCACACUGGAGUCAUCUUUGGCGUCUAAGGACAUCUAAGGACAUUUAUAGACAUUUAUGGAUGUCUAUGGACAUCUAAGGACAUCUAUGGACAUCUUAGGACAUUUAUAGACAUUUAAGGGUAUCCAAGGACAUCUAAGGACACCUGUGGUGUCAUCUUGCACAUCUAUGGCUCCUAUGAGGUAGAAGCAGGGAGCUCUGUUUGCUCACACCCCACAUGUACUCUGCCACUCCAUUAGCAUAUCCUGUUGGCUUUACCUUCAAAAUGUGUCCACAACCCAACCGCUUCACAUCAGAAUCAUCAUUCUACCCUAGACUAAGUCUGUCUCAUGGACUAAGCUGUGUCUGCCCCAAAUUCAUAUGUUGAAGCUCUAACCUCCACCGUGACUGUGUCUGGAGAUAGGACUUUUAAAGAGGUAAGUCAUUAAGUUUAAACGAUGCCAUUAGAACAGGACCCCAAAUGACCGACGUCCUUAUGAGAAGAGGAAGAGGGAUCAGGGACGCACAGCACGCAGUGAAGACCAUGUGGGAACGCAGCAAGAAAGUGCCGUCUGCAAGGCACCGAGAGAGGCGUCAGGGGAGACCAGGCUUGCUGCCACCUUGACCUUGGACUUCCAGCCUCCCGAACUGUGAGCAAAUUAAUUUCCGUGGUUUAAGCCUCCCAGUCCAUGGUAUCCUGUUAUGGCAGCCCUGGCAGACUACUCCAUGCUGUUCCAUCCCUUGCCUGGGCUGUCUGAGCGUCUUCCUUACCUAGGCUCCUUUCUUCUACCCCAUCCCACUACAGACUUUCUCAACACAGCAGCCAGUGUGAUCGCAUUUAAAACGAGGGUCAGUGCAUCACUUGUGAAGUAUUAGAAUAUAUAUAUAUAUAUAUAUAUACUGGUCUCUGCCCUCAGUUCCUGGUACGGAGGCCUUAAAACUCUUGUAAUUUCCCAAGUGACAGGAGCACUGGGAGCAUCAUCUGUCUCAUGUUGGUUCCUCACACAGAGAUCCUAAAUCCUGCGGAAUUUCCUGGGUGAUAGGAGUGUCUUUCAUUCUAAUGAGGCAACCCUAGGUUGGUUCCAAAAUGGCUCUUGGAUGGGACAGAGAAAGCCAUGACUAGGAGCCUGGAAUCCCCUAUGGUCCAGAAAAGGAAGAGGGACUGGAAAUUGAGUUAUACAUCAAUCAUGGAGUUAAUCAUGAUGAAGCCUUAAUAAAAGUCCCAAUAGUAUGGGGUUCGAGAAGGUUCUGGGAUGGUGACCAGGUGGAGGUCCUGGGAGGGUGAUGUGUCUGGAAGGGGAGUUGGAAACCCUGCACCCCGUCCCACAUACUUUGCCCUGUGUAUCUCUUCAUCUGGCUUUUCAUGCAUUCCUGAGCUAUAUCCUUUCAUAAUAAACCGGUAAUCUAAUAAGUAAAUGGUUUUCCUGCCUUAAAGGUCCCCCAGGUUGUUUGGCAGUGUGGAGAAGCCGUGCAUUUCAGACUUGGGCAUGAGGGGUUAAUGGUUUCUGAUGGAGAGGGACUGCCCCUGCCAGGGCUGGUCAAUGUCUAGAGAGUCUAAGGGAUCUGCUUGCAAGCCUGCCUUUGAUGUUGCAAACCCAUCAGCCCAAAGCUCACGACCCCCACCACUUCCUUUAUCCAACUCUUACAUGCUGGACCGUCAUCCUCCUGCUCUCAUCACUUCAGGGUCAGGUACCAGACAGCUAGAGACAGCCCCUACACCCCAGAGCGCGCCGCAGUUAUUCACAGACAACUCCAAACCUGCUUACCCCUCCUCGCCUGUUCCUUUCUGCAUAAACCACAAUAAAAUCUCUUGCUCAGGUUUCUGCCUCGCUCCCUCUGUCUCCUCACAGACCCUGGUGCUGCCCCUCAUGGCCCUGUAUGCUGUGGCAUGCCCCCUCCUCUGGGAACUGUAACAAGCUGUCUUUUCCAUGGCAAUCAGCUGCCUCCUGAUCUGCUGGCCUCCCAUAUCUGAGUAGUAAUAAAAUCGGCAUUUUCAAACAGGCAGGAAGGUGGUGGGCUCAUUUCUGGACACACUGAAUAGAGCAGGACUCUGGGCCACCCUGGGAGAUGUGCAGGGGGAGCUGCAUGCCCGGAUGCCUGUGUCACUCACCAGGGAAGCUGUCCCCACAGCAGGGUGGAUGUCCUCCACACCCACUGCUGGCCUGGCUGCCUUCUUCCUGUAGGUCUUCACCCUGCUGGGAGACAUCAGGGUCACUUUUUUGAGGCUGGAGUGAGGGGACUGAGGCAGGUCAAGGGUAGGGAGAUCCCGGGAAAUUUUAUAACAAGGCUUUAUGACAAGCCCCACCCCCCACCCCCCUCCCAAUCCUGGAUGUCUGAGACCAGGGCUGGCCUUUGCUCUGGGUCCUCACAACCCUUUGGGUUCCUCUUCUCCACCUCUGGCCCACACCCAACCCAGCUCACAUGAAGA